GUUCCCCUGAGCAGGUCAGUCACUGUUUGUAUCUGCAGAGGAAGCAUAAAUAGUGACUAUAUUACAGCAUUGUUCUUUGUCUUUAUUUUUAGGAAGUCAAGGCAGAUGCAGCAGUCGAGGCUGAGUGGGCAAGGCAAUUCACUCGGCGUAUGUCCAGCCCCCGUCACACACCGGCCAAUGCACUGGGUUUCCUGCACAUGUGGGCCUUGUGGAAAUAUUACAGGACUCUGUGAUGAAGCCUUUAAAUUUUCUAUUUCACCGUCCUAUCUGGGUAGCCAUCAGGACCGGCCAAGGAGUUGCGGCAGACCCUGCGACAAUGGCGUCAGCCUCCGAGCACGGCCAAAGCGUGCGGCCCGAGGACCUGGGCAUUCUUAAGAAUGUGAGCAAGAUACAACAGCCCGGUGCCAGCAGGGACUGCUCAGAUGGCAAGGCUGCUUUCUUUUGCAUCUGACACAGAUUAGCAUGACCACCUAUCUGAGAGAUGAGUAGAGGGCUGCGACCCGCAGAGGGGAUGAAAGUGGGAUGCUGGGUUGGGACUCACCGGAGGGGUUUCUGAGUCCGCUUUGGAGAUGGGGAUGUGCAGGAAGUGCCCCUUAGGCCACUGAAAGGGAAAGUUUCACUUGUGAUCACAGCGCUGAGGUGCACAGGGCAGAGCAGUCCCGGUGUGUCUCGUGUCACUUGUCUAUUGUGCAUUCUGUGUGUUUGGGUGUCUCAUGUGUUUUACCUUAGCCCUUUGAGGGGCCUGUCAGAAAC